rnacentral:rRNA from 1 species
GACGAACGCUGGCGGCGUGCCUAAUACAUGCAAGUUGAGCGCUGAAGGUUGGUACUUGUACCAACUGGAUGAGCAGCGAACGGGUGAGUAACGCGUGGGGAAUCUGCCUUUGAGCGGGGGACAACAUUUGGAAACGAAUGCUAAUACCGCAUAAAAACUUUAAACACAAGUUUUAAGUUUGAAAGAUGCAAUUGCAUCACUCAAAGAUGAUCCCGCGUUGUAUUAGCUAGUUGGUGAGGUAAAGGCUCACCAAGGCGAUGAUACAUAGCCGACCUGAGAGGGUGAUAGGACACAUUGGGACUGAGACACGGCCCAAACUCCUACGGGAGGCAGCAGUAGGGAAUCUUCGGCAAUGGACGAAAGUCUGACCGAGCAACGCCGCGUGAGUGAAGAAGGUUUUCGGAUCGUAAAACUCUGUUGGUAGAGAAGAACGUUGGUGAGAGUGGAAAGCUCAUCAAGUGACGGUAACUACCCAGAAAGGGACGGCUAACUACGUG